rnacentral:rRNA from 1 species
AUUGAACGCUGGCGGCAGGCUUAACACAUGCAAGUCGAGCGGGGUGAUGGUGCUUGCACUAUCACUUAGCGGCGGACGGGUGAGUAAUGCUUAGGAAUCUGCCUAUUAGUGGGGGACAACAUCUCGAAAGGGAUGCUAAUACCGCAUACGUCCUACGGGAGAAAGCAGGGGAUCACUUGUGACCUUGCGCUAAUAGAUGAGCCUAAGUCGGAUUAGCUAGGUGGUGGGGUAAAGGCCUACCAAGGCGACGAUCUGUAGAGGGUCUGAGAGGAUGAUCCGCCACACUGGGACUGAGACACGGCCCAGACUCCUACGGGAGGCAGCAGUGGGGAAUAUUGGACAAUGGGGGGAACCCUGAUCCAGCCAUGCCGCGUGUGUGAAGAAGGCCUUAUGGUUGUAAAGCACUUUAAGCGAGGAGGAGGCUCUUUUGGUUAAUACCCAAGAUGAGUGGACGUUACUCGCAGAAUAAGCACCGGCUAACUCUGUGCCAGCAGCCGCCGUAA